rnacentral:rRNA from 1 species
CCUACGGGAGGCAGCAGUGGGGAAUAUUGCACAAUGGGCGAAAGCCUGAUGCAGCAACGCCGCGUGAACGAUGAAGGUCUUCGGAUCGUAAAGUUCUGUUGCAGGGGAAGAUAAUGACGGUACCCUGUGAGGAAGCCCCGGCUAACUACGUGCCAGCAGCCGCGGUAAUACGUAGGGGGCUAGCGUUAUCCGGAUUUACUGGGCGUAAAGGGUGCGUAGGUGGUCCUUCAAGUCGGUGGUUAAAGGCUACGGCUCAACCGUAGUAAGCCGCCGAAACUGGAGGACUUGAGUGCAGGAGAGGAAAGUGGAAUUCCCAGUGUAGCGGUGAAAUGCGUAGAUAUUGGGAGGAACACCAGUAGCGAAGGCGGCUUUCUGGACUGCAACUGACACUGAGGCACGAAAGCGUGGGUAGCAAACAGGAUUAGAUACCCUGGUAGUCCACGCUGUAAACGAUGAGUACUAGGUGUCGGGGGUUACCCCCCUCGGUGCCGCAGCUAACGCAUUAAGUACUCCGCCUGGGGAGUACGCACGCAAGUGUGAAACUCAAAGGAAUUGACGGGGACCCGCACAAGCAGCGGAGCAUGUGGUUUAAUUCGAAGCAACGCGAAGAACCUUACCAGGGCUUGACAUCCCUCUGACCGCUCUAGAGAUAGAGUUUUCCUUCGGGACAGAGGUGACAGGUGGUGCAUGGUUGUCGUCAGCUCGUGUCGUGAGAUGUUGGGUUAAGUCCCGCAACGAGCGCAACCCUUGUCUUUAGUUGCCAGCAUUCAGUUGGGCACUCUAGAGAGACUGCCAGGGAUAACCUGGAGGAAGGUGGGGAUGACGUCAAAUCAUCAUGCCCCUUAUGCUUAGGGCUACACACGUGCUACAAUGGGUGGUACAGAGGGUUGCCAAACCGUGAGGUGGAGCCAAUCCCUUAAAGCCAUUCUCAGUUCGGAUUGUAGGCUGAAACUCGCCUACAUGAAGCUGGAGUUACUAGUAAUCGCAGAUCAGAAUGCUGCGGUGAAUGCGUUCCCGGGUCUUGUACACACCGCCCGUCACACCAUGGAAGUUGGGGGUGCCCGAAGUCGGUUAGUUAAUCUAUCGCCUAAGGCAAAACCAAUGACUGGGGUGAAGUCGUAACAAGGUAGCCGUAUCGGAAGGUGCGGCUG